rnacentral:rRNA from 1 species
CUCGGAGUUUGAUCCUGGCUCAGGAUGAACGCUAGCGGCAGGCUUAACACAUGCAAGUCGAGGGGUAUAGUUCUUCGGAGCUAGAGACCGGCGCACGGGUGCGUAACGCGUAUGCAAUCUACCUUUUACAGAGGGAUAGCCCAGAGAAAUUUGGAUUAAUACCUCAUAGUAUGUGAGAAUCGCAUGGUUUUUACACAUUAAAGUUCCAACGGUAAAACGAUGAGCAUGCGUCCCAUUAGUUAGUUGGUAAGGUAA